rnacentral:lncRNA from 1 species
GUGAGAAGGAAGCUCUAAAAAGACUUGUUCAAGCCAAUACAGUGGGUGUGUUUGGAUAUCUAAAGACCUUAUAAUUAAGAUCCUACUUUUCUGCAGGCGAAACAAAAGAUACUUCCAUUGCCUCUACAUGCUCUGCAACAGCCAACCAGCCAGACGACUUGAGAAAAUACAUAGCCAUAGUCUCCUUGGACCAACGCCAGCGCUACAAGGAUGACUUCAAUGCAGAGUAUGAGGAAUACCAAAAUUUAUAUACUCGGAUUGACAAGAUCAGAGAGCACUUCACACAGCUUCAGGAACAAUGGAAGUCUGUGACCACAGGCUCUGAAGCCCAUCAGGUAGAGAAGGAUAAAGCCAUGAAGACUGUGCUUCAUCAGAGCAGUCCUUUGGAUUCCCUGGAGCUGCUCAAGUGAGAUGCAGGGAAACUGAGGAAUUGGCAUAUAUGCUCAGACACUGCUUGGGCUGGGUCAGAUUUUGGCAAGACCCUGCCCAUAAAACGCUGUUUGAACUGUCUGAGAACAAUCCAUACGGUGAGAGGUGUCCCAAGCAGAGUCUUAGAGCAUGUGCUCCUUCUGGUGCCUGUUGAGAGGCUUAAUUGCAGAUCUUGGGUGAUACUGGGAGUUGGGGAUUUGUUUUUGCAAACCUCCCAGAAGAGUGGUGGCUCACAGAGAAGAAAAUCUCGGGAGUCAAACGGAGUGCAUUUGUAGUGCUUUAGUAAAGUUUGCAUUUUAUGGUGGUAGUGAAACAUUCUUUGUGUGUUUUUUCUUGAAGAUGCUGCUUCAUCGAAUCCUAGCAGAAUAUCAUCAGAUACAACAGGUAUGUUUGACACCAGAUCUGCAGAGCGUGGUUACUGCUGAGUCUGGCUCAAGGCCUUUUUAAAGCACAGCACAUCUUGUAAACUCUGCAGAAGUCUUUGCAUGCCCUAAUUUUUUUUAUUUUUUUUUCUCCUUCAUAGGGUAGCCCCAGCUACUUUGAAUUGAAGAACAGGUGCCUGUACCUCCACAACAAGCUGUCACAUAUUCAGAGCCUCAUAUCUGAAUUUGACAAGCAUUAAGUGGAGUCCUGGCACCAGGCAACUGCUUCAGCCAGAAAUAUCUAUGAACCCUGGAUUUUUUAUCACAACUAGAAGAUUAGGUUUUUAGGAUUAUUUACAUUAGUAUUGAACAGUAGGUUAUGUUAGCAUUGAGCAAUAGAUGACUUUCUAAAAAUGUAGAAUUAGUUCAAAGAAGUUGAGUAAGUUAAUGGAUUUCAAAGAUGAUCUUAUUGAACUUUAAGAAUAAAGAAAUUUCCCUUGUG